rnacentral:rRNA from 1 species
GACGAACGCUGGCGGCGUGCUUAACACAUGCAAGUCGAACGGAAAGGCCCUGCUUGCAGGGUACUCGCGUGGCGAACGGGUGAGUAACACGUGGGUGAUCUGCCCUGCACUUCGGGAUAAGCCUGGGAAACUGGGUCUAAUACCGGAUAGGAGCCAUUUUUAGUGUGGUGGUUGGUAAGUUUUUUCGGUGUAGGAUGAGCUGGCGGCCUAUCAGCUUGUUGGUGGGGUAAUGGGCUACCAAGGCGGCGACGGGUAGCCGGCCGGAGAGGGUGGACGGCCACAGUGGGACUGAGAUACGGGCCAGACUCCGACGGGAGGAAGCAGUGGGGAAUAUUGCACAAUGGGCGCAAGCCUGAUGCAGCGACGCCGCGUGGGGGAGGACGGCCUUCGGGUUGUAAACUCCGUUCGCUAGGGACGAAGCUUUUUGUGACGGUACCUAGAGAAGAAGCACCGGCUAACUACGUG